rnacentral:rRNA from 1 species
ACGCUAGCUACAGGCUUAACACAUGCAAGUCUUGGGGCAUCAGGAAGAAAGCUUGCUUUCUUUGCUGGCGACCGGCGCGCGGGUGAGUAACACGUAUCCAACCUGCCCUUUACUCGGGGAUAGCCUUUCGAAAGAAAGAUUAAUACCCGAUAGCAUAAUGAUUCCGCAUGGUUUCAUUAUUAAAGGAUUCCGGUAAAGGAUGGGGAUGCGUUCCAUUAGGUUGUUGGUGAGGUAACGGCCCACCAAGCCUUCGAUGGAUAGGGGUUCUGAGAGGAAGGUCCCCCACAUUGGAACUGAGACACGGUCCAAACUCCUACGGGAGGCAGCAGUGAGGAAUAUUGGUCAAUGGGCGCUAGCCUGAACCAGCCAAGUAGCGUGAAGGAUGAAGGCUCUAUGGGUCGUAAACUUCUUUUAUAUAAGAAUAAAGUGCAGUAUGUAUACUGUUUUGUAUGUAUUAUAUGAAUAAGGAUCGGCUAACUCCGUGCCAGCAGCCGCGGUAAUACGGAGGAUCCGAGCGUUAUCCGGAUUUAUUGGGUUUAAAGGGAGCGUAGGUGGACUGGUAAGUCAGUUGUGAAAGUUUGCGGCUCAACCGUAAAAUUGCAGUUGAUACUGUCAGUCUUGAGUACAGUAGAGGUGGGCGGAAUUCGUGGUGUAGCGGUGAAAUGCUUAGAUAUCACGAAGAACUCCGAUUGCGAAGGCAGCUCACUGGACUGCAACUGACACUGAUGCUCGAAAGUGUGGGUAUCAAACAGGAUUAGAUACCCUGGUAGUCCACACAGUAAACGAUGAAUACUCGCUGUUUGCGAUAUACAGUAAGCGGCCAAGCGAAAGCAUUAAGUAUUCCACCUGGGGAGUACGCCGGCAACGGUGAAACUCAAAGGAAUUGACGGGGGCCCGCACAAGCGGAGGAACAUGUGGUUUAAUUCGAUGAUACGCGAGGAACCUUACCCGGGCUUAAAUUGCAGUGGAAUGAUGUGGAAACAUGUCAGUGAGCAAUCACCGCUGUGAAGGUGCUGCAUGGUUGUCGUCAGCUCGUGCCGUGAGGUGUCGGCUUAAGUGCCAUAACGAGCGCAACCCUUAUCUUUAGUUACUAACAGGUUAUGCUGAGGACUCUGGAGAGACUGCCGUCGUAAGAUGUGAGGAAGGUGGGGAUGACGUCAAAUCAGCACGGCCCUUACGUCCGGGGCUACACACGUGUUACAAUGGGGGGUACAGAAGGCAGCUACCUGGUGACAGGAUGCUAAUCCCAAAAGCCUCUCUCAGUUCGGAUCGAAGUCUGCAACCCGACUUCGUGAAGCUGGAUUCGCUAGUAAUCGCGCAUCAGCCACGGCGCGGUGAAUACGUUCCCGGGCCUUGUACACACCGCCCGUCAAGCCAUGGGAGCCGGGGGUACCUGAAGUACGUAACCGCAAGGAUCGUCCUAGGGUAAAACUGGUGAC